UAUCCUUUUUACCUGUCUCUGAAUUACAUUUGCUAAUACUUUCUUAAGUAUUUUUGCAGAUUGUCAAGACAGACAGUUAAUAUCCUUCCUCAUAAUAUCCUUGUUUUGAUAUCAAAUUUAUACUGGCCUCAUGAAAUAAUCAAGUCUUUGGAGUCAGACCUAGAUCAGAAGCCACACAUGUGCAGUUAGUGGACAAAACCUUAGCAAAUUACUUUUCUGAGACUGAGCUUACUCAUCUGCACCACCUGCGCCAACCUUACAGAUAAUCACAACUGUUUGAGGAAAUGAAAUAAUCAGCUUUGAUGAUAGUUGAAAAAAGAGGUUGAACUAGAGAGGUGCAGUGAGAAUAUAAAGAACAAGACAGAU